rnacentral:rRNA from 1 species
AGAGUUUGAUCAUGGCUCAGAUUGAACGCUGGCGGCGUGCCUAACACAUGCAAGUCGAGCGGUAACAGGUGUAGCAAUACAUGCUGACGAGCGGCGGACGGGUGAGUAACGCUUGGGAAUCUGCCUGUUAGUGGGGGACAACCAACCGAAAGGUUGGCUAAUACCGCAUACGCACUACGGUGGAAAGCCGGGGACCGCAAGGCCUGGCGCUAACAGAUGAGCCCAAGUCGGAUUAGCUAGUUGGUAGGGUAACGGCCUACCAAGGCGACGAUCCGUAACUGGUCUGAGAGGACGACCAGUCACACCGGAACUGAGACACGGUCCGGACUCCUACGGGAGGCAGCAGUGGGGAAUAUUGGACAAUGGGGGCAACCCUGAUCCAGCGACGCCGCGUGGGUGAAGAAGGCCUGCGGGUUGUAAAGCCCUUUCGGUUGGGAAGAAAAGUUGCGACCUAACACGUCGCGACCUUGACGUAACCAACUAAAGAAGCACCGGCUAACUCUGUGCCAGCAGCCGCGGUAAUACAGAGGGUGCGAGCGUUAAUCGGAAUUACUGGGCGUAAAGCGCGCGUAGGCGGCUUUUCAAGUCGAUUGUGAAAUCCCCGGGCUUAACCUGGGAACUGCAGUCGAGACUGUCUAGCUAGAGUAUGGGAGAGGGAAGUGGAAUUUCAGGUGUAGCGGUGAAAUGCGUAGAUAUCUGA